CGAUGUUGAAGUUGAAUCCUUACUGUUCUUUCAUUAUUUGUUUGUAUUUCCUGUGGAUAAGCAGUGUCCACAACACUUUACUUAGUUUUGAGACAUCCUUAUAUUGCGUUAUGACCAUGAAUUUUUAACAGCUUUCUUAUUAUAACCCUAUGGUAACAAAUCUGUAUUUGUUAUUGUGGUUUGCAUCUGACUGAUAUAUAUCUAGCCUGCAACAUUGUAAUAUGAGAUGUUGCCUGCAACAUUCUUAAUGAAAUUUGAUGCGAGGGAUAUUAUGUUGGGGAGAGAAAUAGGUCUAUUGGGACUUCGGAUAAUCGUGAUAAUAAAUUCUUUGUAAUAUGAGUUGCUGUCGAUCACAUUCUUAAUUGGAUUCUCUCUCUCUCUCUCUCUCUCUCUCAACUCACAUUUUUUACUGCAUCUUGUUUUCCAAAUUGAAUAUUCUUUAAGCUUAAAGGUUGAGUGGACCUCUUUUCAUGUCCUUAUGCUUUUGCUUUUAUUUAACAUCACAUGCAUUCCCGAUUUGUUGUCUUUCAUGUACUUGAGAUUUUACAUCUUUAUUUUGUUUGUUUUAUCUAUGCAAAUUUAUGUGUUGUUGAACUUACUGUUCUUGACCCUUUGGCAGGAGAAAGAGUUUAAAGUUGCAGUUCUCCUUAUUUUUGACAAUAAGCAGGAAGUAAAAAAUGUAUGAUAGGAGAUUUGGAGUUCGCUAGAAAAGCUCUGCCUGUAUGAUCAAAGAACACGAAUUCUGGAAUUCAGGUACUCAUAUGGUAGUUAUUCAGGAUUUGUAAUCACACUUUAAGUAGAUAUUAUGCAAUGUGAAAUCAACCCAGGCCUGAUUCUUCAACCACUGACAAGGAACUUGCUUCUAUGAUCGAGAGUGUUUCCGAGAAACAACAUUUUACCGCAAAAUGGCUUCAACUGCCGAGAUUGGAUGGGAUUUUAGUACAAGAUGGAUGAGGUAGAUUUUUGAAACAGGGAGAAGUAAUUGAUUUAGCAUUUAUACUCCUACAUUAACAUUUUAUUGAAAGCACAAUAGAGUAUGUUUUGAGUU